UUUCCUUGCAACGCUUCCUCGUGCUCGCACCCAAGGCCGGUGGCGGCGGCGGGCAGCGUCGCACGAAGCUCUGGUCCGUGAAGAUUCGGCUCCUGUAGGGCGGCGGAGACGCUGGGGCGCCGGAUCUGGGGGCGUGGGAAGGCAUGACGCUGGUCCAAAGGGCAGUGCCCAGGACCAAGUGGCGGCGAGCAGGCGUUGGUGGUUGGGUUCUCGACUGGGGCUGUGGGGAAGUCCUGGAAUUUUUAACAAUUAGAAACUUCUGCCUUAAGUCUCAACUUUUCAGGAAAGGAAAACAUGCAAAUAUGUUAGUAGAUUUGCGAAAGAAGAUAGAGAAGGUGGAACUUCGGAGAUCAACUAUACUACUCACGUCCAUUUCACUCAUUUGAACUGAGAUAUGGAGGGCGAAGAAAACGUUGAGGAUGAACUGUUUCUUGUGGGGUCACAACUCCAGGACAUUCAAGGUGCUGAAUCCACUGCAGGCUUCUUGAGCAGGUUCAGCUGUUAUCACCUUGACGCUAGGCUGCUAGCUCGUUUGACACCUCUGCCUACAACCCCGAGGUCAGUUACAGUACUUCUGGUUGUUGCUGCCGUAGACAUGACUGAGCCAGAGACAUUGCUCAAAGUGGCCAUCUGAGAAGAAGUAAAAGAUGCAGUUCUUUGCCCAUCAGCAACUUUCUACCCAACAGCUGCCCUGGAUGCAAUCAUCUUCAUGAUCUCAUCUAUUGCAGGGCUGGCAAAUCCAGGAACCCCGGCCAGCUCGGUUAUUCCUCCUUUCGACAUUGCUUGCUCCAGUUCUUCAAGCUGAGCACAGAACCAUUCAGAGAUGGCAUUAUUCCUCAGAAGCAAGACAAAUCAUCUUCAUUGCUGAUACAGUAUAAGGCUCAUGAAGCAAAACAAAACGCAACUCUAAUUGUUUUACCUUCUUCUCAAGUUCAGUCAAUAUGACGUACAGUAGGCUGUUCUAUGUCAGCUUCAGGAGCAGAUUUUUCUGAGUCUCCUUCAGCAGCAAGUGCAUAACCAGUUCACCGUA